UGGAAACAAGUGUACUUAAUGCACAGCUUGUUAAAAAAAAAAAAAUACUCAGAAUUGUCUUAGAUAUAUUUUUUCAAAAAUUAGAAGGGCAGUUUUGUGCUAUCGAUAUUUUUCUUCUUUUGCUUAAACAGAGGCCCUGGCCAUCGAUGUAUUUUGCUAUUGACUAGAUCCAGAACUGUUUAUAACUUCAGCGAACGGAGAUAGCUGUGGGGAACGUCUUCACAAGCCACUUGAGUACCAUUUGGCAUUAUUUUCUUUGAGCACAUAGCUUCUUUUGAGAUUCCUUCCCCCACCCUUGCUUACGAGGUGGAAGGCGCUUGGCCUUCUAACGGUGAAGAUCGAGAUCCCCUGUGCAGCAGAGAGGGCGCAGCAGCGGGGGGCCGGGCACCCAGACCUCUAGACGCAUGGCCCUGCGGCAUUUGUGCAGGCCCACCUGAGAUAAGGGCGGACUGGUGCCUUGUGAGACUCCUCAGCUCUGUGGAAAGUUUGAGCUAAGGUCGUUUAUUCUCACUAAAGGGGUGUGAAGGUCUAAAGUCUUUCCUUAUGUUAAAUUGUUGCCAGAUCCGAGGGGGUGCGCCGAGUGUUGUGGCAGAGAGUAAACAUUACCUCACGGUUAGGCCUUUAUUUUAUUUUAUUUUCCAUUGAAAACAUUGGAAUGUAAGACAACUGUAAAAUGCUGAGCCCCAUUUUGUCCAAAGUCCACAAAGAGGAACACCUGCCAUUACCUUUUAGAAGUCCGUGCCUCCGCACCUAAUGCCAGCUGCAGCUGGAAAGGCAUUUUGGUGAAUUCCACUGUGUAAAAGAAAAUACUGGGGACAAUACACUUCAUCAGGGCAGCGGAAGGAAGGGAGCAGGGAGGACCAAGGAGGAAGUCCUGGGCAUUAAAAUACCCAGAGCUGAGCAGAAAAGCUGAUGAGAUACUGCAAGUAACAGAGCCCAAAGUGGGGGGGGCCUUGCACAUAGAGGUUCACAUGACCUCUGGAAGGAGGCUAGGGGUUAAAACGGGAAGAACCAGGAGCUCAAGUCCCACCCUUGACACUUCUCUGCUGUGUGACAAGGGACCAGCCGUUUAGCCUCUCCAUGCCUACUCUUCAUGUGUAAACUGGGACUUAACAAUAUUUAUAAGAUAACCGACACUCUCAGGGCAAAGUCACUAUAUUGCUGUACAGUUAAGAUCAGUGUUGUAAAAUUAAACUGAUCUGGUUCUAAUUGCCUCAAAGGCUGAAGCCCAAGCAUUUGAAAUGGAAAGAAGUGGAGAGAAGGUUGACUUAGCUGAUUGGUAUGGAAACAGUUGGGCCAAGAGCCAGAAAGUUUUCUUUGUAGCAAUAUGGCUGGUUUCACUCCGAGAAGCGCUGCUCAGUUGCUGUGUAGCAGUUAGCCUGGUGGAGUGGGGGGCGCUGUGCACAAUUAGGUUUCCACAGGUAUGAACGGUGGUGCUUUCAGAUGACAUUGCCGUAGCCAGGUGUGAAGGUACAGCUUAUGACUGGUGUAUAUUGUGUUUGUAGCCUUGACCGCGAAUCCUGAAAUGCAGUCCCGAAAAAAAUGUCCUUCUGUAAAUCUUUGAAGGCUGAUGAAAACUGACAUCUUUCCUUGUAAGCACCAAGACAAAAAUAAGAAAGAGGGACCCUUGACAGUUUUACAAUGAGAAACGACGAGGAGUUAAAAUGGGAAGUGACAAAUCAAAAUGGCAGUGGGGUCACGUCCGCGUUCUUCCAUGUGUCUACACCACGUCCUGGGGAGGCCCUGAUACUCUGGUGACUGUGUCGUCACGUGGGCCACAGCUCCACGUAGCCUACGCUCUUCCAGACAAGUCACGCUCUUCCUUUCCCAGCUCCUGGCUGAUUCGCCUCGGGCCCUGGGAUUUUUCUGGAAAUGAGGUGUAAGAUGCAAGACCACUGAAGCCUCAGCUCCCGGACCAUCCUGGCAGCCUGCCCUGAGCUCACAGAGGGAGCCCCAUCCUUUCCCAGAGACUGGAGGAUCCCCUGGGGGGUCGGCUAAAGACGGGGGCCUCCUGAGACUUCCCUGCCCCAGGGCACACCCACCCUUUGGGUCACCCAGCCCCUCUCCCAUCACUCCAGCUGUGCGUGGUAGCCUGCCCCAGGGUCUGCUGGACACGAGCCACCAUAUCUGGGUAGACAAGGAAGAUGAGGAGCCUCUUCCCUUCCCCCCAGAGAUUCUGAAUUCUCAUUGUCCUUUCAUUUUUAUUAUGGGGCCUAACAUUGCCCCCUCAACAACUCCUUCUUUUCUAACCCUUUGUCUUUGUUUCAAGGAAGGCCGGUUUUUCUUCUACCACAUUUUCCAGCAUCAACUUGAAGAAAAAUGCAGCAUCCACUGGAAAAGAAAAAAAAAAAAAAAAAGCGGGGUAUAUGCAUGUGGUUUAAUUCCAGAUUGCUUUUGAGUUUAAGUGGUAUAAAAUUUCAGUGUAUUUCUGUCUUAUGUUAAAGAAAUAUAUUACUAAAACGUCGGUGAGCAGUAAUGUCAGCUGUCGAGCACUAGAUUUAUUUUUGCAGGAUAUGGAGUGCAAUGAACUGAGUCAAUAUGGCAAGGUGUAUGUGAUCGGUGAGAGUUGUGCCAUUUAACAUAGGAAAUGCACGGGACUUUCCCUCUCUGCACUCCAGCUCUUGCUCUACCAUUAGGAGACGUGGGCUUCUGCUGGUGUGUAAAAAGUACAUCCGUCCAGUCGUGCAGAAUGGAUCUGAAGAAAGCAGCAGCCUAUCUUGUAUUAGAGAACAUUUCUACACGUUUAAACUUUUCACUUCUUAGAUGCAUUUAAAUACUUCUUGCAAAUGCCAUAGCAACUCAAAAGCCUCUCCAUAUUCAUUGAAAUCGAGAUGCCCUGCUUCAAACACGGACUAUUAUGAAAGGGAUUCUCGUUUGUUCCGAAGGUCAGGUAUUUUUGUCUUAGAUAGCUUUGUAAUGAUUUUUCUCCAAACGGUUCAAAACUUUUGAAAAACGUUAUGAAAUUUUCAUUAAAAAACCCUUUUCCUAUGUUUAUUGUAUACAGAAAUUAUGCAAUAAAAUUUCUUUAUAAAA
rnacentral:lncRNA from 1 species